GUGGGGAAUUUUGGACAAUGGGCGCAAGCCUGAUCCAGCCAUGCCGCGUGCGGGAAGAAGGCCUUCGGGUUGUAAACCGCUUUUGUCAGGGAAGAAACGCACUGGGUUAAUACCUUGGUGUAAUGACGGUACCUGAAGAAUAAGCACCGGCUAACUACGUGCCAGCAGCCGCGGUAAUACGUAGGGUGCAAGCGUUAAUCGGAAUUACUGGGCGUAAAGCGUGCGCAGGCGGUUGUGCAAGACAGAUGUGAAAUCCCCGGGCUCAACCUGGGAACUGCAUUUGUGACUGCACGGCUUGAGUGCGGCAGAGGGGGAUGGAAUUCCGCGUGUAGCAGUGAAAUGCGUAGAGAUGCGGAGGAACACCGAUGGCGAAGGCAAUCCCCUGGGCCUGCACUGACGCUCAUGCACGAAAGCGUGGGGAGCAA
rnacentral:rRNA from 1 species